rnacentral:tRNA from 1 species
GGGGAUUUAGCUCAGUGGCAUAAGCACCUGCCUUGCAAGCAGGCGCUCGUGAGUUGCAAAGUGGUCGUGAGUUCGAUCCCCA